UAUGAAGAACGCAGCGAAAUGCGAUAAGUAAUGUGAAUUGCAGAAUUCAGUGAAUCAUCGAAUCUUUGAACGCACAUUGCGCCCGCCAGUAUUCUGGCGGGCAUGCCUGUUCAAGCGUCAUUUCAACCCUCAAGCCCAGCUUGGUGUUGGGGAUCGGCACAGGCGCCCUCGGGCGCCCGCCGUCCCCUAAAUCUAGUGGCGGUCCCGCUGCAGCCUCCUCUGCGUAGUAGUUUUCUCCUCGCAAGGGCAGCUCGGUGGCGACCUCGCCGUAAAACCCCCAACUUCUGAAAGGUUGACCUCGAAUCAGGUAGGAAUACCCGCUGAACUUAAGCAUAUCAAUAAGCGGAGGA
rnacentral:misc_RNA from 1 species